rnacentral:rRNA from 1 species
AAACGACUCUCGGCAACGGAUAUCUCGGCUCUCGCAUCGAUGAAGAACGUAGCGAAAUGCGAUACCUGGUGUGAAUUGCAGAAUCCCGCGAACCAUCGAGUCUUUGAACGCAAGUUGCGCCCGAAGCCUUCUGGCCGAGGGCACGCCUGCCUGGGCGUCACGC